GCAGCCGCGGUAAUUCCAGCUCCAAUAGCGUAUAUUAAUGUUGUUGCAGUUAAAAAGCUCGUAGCCGACUCUCGGGGCGGUUGCAACGGUCCGCAGAAAUGUGAGCACUGUCGUAGCCGCCUCUUCCUUCUGGACACGUUGUUUUCUCUUCACUGAGCGAGCAGCGGGGCCAGAUCGUUCACUUUGAACAAAUUAGAGUGUUCAAAGCAGGCCUCCGCCUGAAUACUUGAGCAUGGAAUGAUAUCAAUAGGUCCUCUUUCCUCGUUUAUUGGUGAUGAGGAGAGAGGAAAUGAGAAAGGGGAAUGGUUGGGGCCAUUCGUACUGCAGCGUUAGAGGUGAAAUUCUUGGAUCGCUGCAAGACGAACAACAGCGAAAGCAUUUGGCAAGAACGUUUCCACCGGUCAAGAACGAAAGUUAAGGGAUCGAAGACGAUCAGAUACCGUCGUAGUCUUAACCAUAAACUAUGCCGACUAGAGAUCGGUGGAUGUUAUCUUAUGACUCCAUCAGCAUCUUAUGAGAAAUCAAAGUCUUUGGGUUCCGGGGGGAGUAUGGUCGCAAGGCUGAAACUUAAAGGAAUUGACGGAAGGGCACCACCAGGAGUGGAGCCUGCGGCUUAAUUUGACUCAACACGGGGAAACUUACCAGGUCCAGACAUAGUAAGGAUUGACAGGUUGAGAGCCCUUUCUUGAUUCUAUGGGUGGUGGUGCAUGGGCCGUUCUUAGUUGGUGGAGUGAUUUGUCUGGUUAAUUCCGUUAACGAACGAGACCUUAACCUGCUAAAUAGUUGCACGGAUUACCGAUCCGUGAUGGCUUCUUAGAGGGACUAUCGGUGUCUAAUCGAUGGAAGUUUGAGGCAAUAACAGGUCUGUGAUGCCAAUGACCGAAGUCGCGGCCGC
rnacentral:rRNA from 1 species